ensembl:lincRNA
GUAGAGUCUUCUUUCCCCAAAGCUUCCUCCCCUCCCCCACUGCUUUCAGAGUAGAUUAACUAAUUACUUCCAAUUAAAGCCGGUAGAUCUCUGUACCUCCUGGGCUUCAACACUGCCCCUAGGAGUCUCCCUAGGCUGCCUGGGUCUGAAAGGGACCUGGCCACUUAGGGGGAUCAGUGAAUCAGUUAAGUAAUGCAGGGGGCCACAAAGGAAGCCCACUGGGUCAUGUGCUUGACGGGGAGGGCUGCAGACAAGCCUGGCCCUCUGGCUGCAGCAUGGAAGUGUGGCCCUGCUUCAGGCCUUAAUGGGCCCGGGAAGGUCAGGAGCUGCCGUCUUUGGAGGAAUGGUGUUUGUGUUGGCAUCCAUGGGCCCUGUAGCCCUGCCAACUCUCACAGCAUGUGACACUGUCAGGAGACUGGAGGUGUGAGGCAGAAGUCAGCUGGAGAGGCUCCUGUGGCCGGCUGGCCGCCUGCUUCCAGGCGCUGCUUCACUCCUUGGAUGCACUUGCCCUAAAGGUUGACCGAUAGCUGCUGAUGCAAGCGCCAGAGAUCUUGUCCUGAGGUGAUGUGCUCGGAGGCUGCAGAGAAUCCGUCUGUCUGUCUAGGUCCGUCUUUAAGAUUAAGGAAACUUUCCCCAGAAGUGUUCCCAGAACCUGCUUCUGGGUCUCAUCGGCCAAAGUUCAGCCACACACUCAUUCCUGUAACUCCUAGUCGGGGUAACGUAGGUUCUUUGCCUAGCAGGUAUCAUGGUGCACAUCUGGAAUCCCAGAAUUCAGGAGGCAGAGGAAAGAGGAUUGCUAGCUCAAGGCCAGCCUGGGCUACAGCGAGACACCUCCUAAAACAAAAACAAGCCAGGUGGUGGAGAGAUAGCUUGGUGGGUAAAUUGCUGGCCUUGCAACUGGUGAAGACUCGUGCAUGAUCCCCAGAAACCACACAAAAAGCCAUUAUCAUCCCAGCACUGGAGAUGGGGACAUGCAAGCCCUCUGGUUUUCUGGCUAGUCAGUCUACCUGAAUCAGCGGCAAGCCCCACAUCCCAAUAAUGUCCCCAAACACAAGGAAGACGGUGUCUGAGGGACAACACCUGAGGCUGACUUGUAUCCUCUACAUGCAUGCACAUGCUUGCACAUAUACAUGCAUUCACAGGACAUGCACUCACACUCAAACUAACCAAAACCGAUGCUUUUAACUUAUGAAAACCGGUACAUUGUCAUUCAUCUUACAGGUGUCUUCCUCUGAUCUCUGAUUUUAUCUUUUGAUUUUUAUUUAUAAUGUUUUUCCUUGUAAUUUCUUUGUGGGUGCAUGUAUUAAUCACUUCUGUUAUGACUUCUGUUUGUCCUGUGUCUAGGAAACUUGAUACCCGGGGAUCACACAAUCAUUUUCACAAACAUUUUUAGAAACGUGUGUGUGUGUGUCUGAGUGUGUGUGUGAGUGAGUAUGUGUGUGAGUGUGAGUGAGUGUGUGUGAGUGUGUGUGAGUGUGUGAGUGUGUGAGUGUGUGAGUGUGUGUAUGUGUGAGUGAGUGAGUGUGUGUAUGUGUGAGUGAGUGUGUGUGUGUGUGUGUGAGUGAGUGUGUGUGAGUGAGUGUGUGUGUGAGUGAGUGAGAGUAUGUGAGUGUGUGUGUGAGUGUGUGUGUGAGUGAGUGAGAGUAUGUGAGUGUGUGUGUGAGUGUGUGUGUGAGUGAGUGUGUGUGAGUGAGUGUGUGUGAGUGAGUGUGUGUGUGUGUGAGUGAGUGUGUGAGUGAGAGUAUGUGAGUGUGUGUGAGUGAGUGAGUGUGUGUGAGUGAGUGUGUGUGUGAGUGUGAGUGUGUGUGUGAGUGUGUAUGUGUGAGUGAGUGAGAGUGUGUGUGUGUGUGCGCGCGCACUUGCCUGUCUGUAUGUACACCGUGUGCAUGCUAUACCUUUGCAGGCCCAAAGAGGGUGCUGGGUUAUCUGGAAUUGGGGUUGUGAGUUCUUAGGAGCUUCCAUGUGGGUGCUGGGAACUGAGCCUCAGCACAGAGCAGCUGGUGCUCUUAACUGCUGAGCCAGAUCCCUUGACUUGUGUAUAAGUUGAUUUUUUGUUUUUUUUGGGGUUUUUUUUUUUUUUUGUACUUUUAUGGUUUUAUUUUUCCAGUGUUUUCUUCAGUUCUUCGAUCCUGUUGGAAUUUAUUUCCAUGCUAAGAGUGAGCUGAUCCUGUGCGGACUCUGGGCUCCAGCCAUUUUAAUUACUCUUGCUGUGCAGUGUUCUGCAGAAUGUCUGCCAGACCUACCCUUUCGUGCUUAGUGUGCUUUGCUUUUCUCUGGAAUUUUUCUGUCUAUUCUUUUAUAUAUGUCCCCCCACCCCCAAUUAAAAAUGUCAUCAUCCC